GGUUUUGGAAAAUGAUUCAGUUCUCUAGAGGAGUAAGAGACACUGUAGUGAAAAUGAGGCUGCUUCCUCUGAUUGGAAUGCCCUUCUCCUAUCUCCUUGGAAGAAUCUUCUUCCUCCAUUGUGAUGGGGAGCAGCUAGCUGAUGCUCUGUUAGGGACUCCAAGGCCACCCUGGAUGGAUCAGGACAGCAGAGAAAGUGAUCCCAUUACUGAAUGAUAAUCAGACCAAUCCCCCCGCCCCAUCCUAUCUGUGUGGAGGACAGAAGCACAAAUGGAAGUUGCCUGUCACAAGCUCACCAGCCACAGGUGAUGCCCACAUGAGGCCCCACCAGUUCUAGUCUUUAACCCUGAAUGCUGAUGAGCGUUAGGAUUACAGCAGCAGCAGCAGAGGCAACAGGUUUGCACAGACUUUCAGAGGUAAAGGGCAAGAGGAAAUCGUAUGAAGACCAAUAUAAAAUCCUGGCCUGAUUCUCUUACCUGGAAUCACAAUAUCUGGGAAGGAAGGGCCAGGCCUUGGGGCUAUGAUUGUGGUAACUUCUCUGCCUGAUCCCCUUGGUCAUGCAGGAGGUGCAAAUUUGGACCCAACUCCAUGCAAAGUGUGAAUUGACUUUAAGUUGGAUUGAGUUUCACCCUUGUGGGAGGCUGGGAUUUUUUUGUUUUCUUGUGGUUUUUUUGCUCACCUUUCCACUGAAGAUCCAGGAUUUUGAAGCUCUCAGUUUGUUUAGGAAUCUCAGUUCCAAU